rnacentral:rRNA from 1 species
UGGGGAAUUUUGGACAAUGGGCGAAAGCCUGAUCCAGCAAUGCCGCGUGUGUGAAGAAGGCCUUCGGGUUGUAAAGCACUUUUGUCCGGAAAGAAAUCCUUGGCUCUAAUACAGUCGGGGGAUGACGGUACCGGAAGAAUAAGCACCGGCUAACUACGUGCCAGCAGCCGCGGUAAUACGUAGGGUGCAAGCGUUAAUCGGAAUUACUGGGCGUAAAGCGUGCGCAGGCGGUUUGCUAAGACCGAUGUGAAAUCCCCGGGCUCAACCUGGGAACUGCAUUGGUGACUGGCAGGCUAGAGUAUGGCAGAGGGGGGUAGAAUUCCACGUGUAGCAGUGAAAUGCGUAGAGAUGUGGAGGAAUACCGAUGGCGAAGGCAGCCCCCUGGGCCAAUACUGACGCUCAUGCACGAAAGCGUGGGGGAGCAAAACAGGAUUAGAUACCCUGGUAGUCCACGCCCUAAACGAUGUCAACUAGUUGUUGGGGAUUCAUUUCCUUAGUAACGUAGCUAACGCGUGAAGUUGACCGCCUGGGGAGUACGGUCGCAAGAUUAAAACUCAAAUGAAUUGACGGGG